CUGGGAGUGAGUUGGAGGGCGUGGCACAGGGUCCCGCGCAGCCCAGGGCGAGGCCCGUCCCGCUGUGCAGCGCCCGCCUGCCCCUCCCCACAGCCCGCCACUCAUUAAUCUUGAAGAGUUUUCUGCUGAGUGCUCUUCCAGGACUUUCAAACCGCUCACUAAUUGCAAUUAAUCACUUACGAAGCAGAGGUCAGGAACAAUGGGCUGGAGGCGGGAGAGCUGUCAGGGGGUGCGUGGGCGUGGGCCCUGGUGCCCGGUGCGGGCUGCCCACUCCCACCCAGGUGGCUGCCAGGUCCCUUGCUUGUAGGGAGGAGGCUGCUGAGAGUGGGAAGGUGGUACCUGAUCAGGGGAAGGUGCCCCCAGGGCAGAUGCCCCCGAGGAGUCCACACUGACCCAGAGGAGGCCGGGGUCCAGCUGGAGCCCCAACGGAUGUACCUGGAGGCCAGCAGGCACUGGAGUCAGGCCAGCGGGCGAGUGCGGCCUGUGGACAUGGCCUGGCCUGUGCGUUUCUUGCGCAGCGUGACCUCAGGAUUGUGUUCUGUGUUAGGUGCCCACAUUUGAGAGCCCGACUCCACAAAUCUGGACUCUGGUUCUCUUUGGGAACACAAAGGUACUGCUGCGUGCGGCACCAGGCAGCUGUGGCCUGGAUGUGCAGGGCCCAGGCGCUGGGUUCUGCAAGACCCCUGGCCGCCCCAGGACGCCUGGCUCAGGGCUGGCUCCCCGGUGUCUCCUCCACAGUCACCCAGGCAGGCCACAAAGUGCCCCUGGAGGCUCUGAGCUCAGGAGGCUGUGAAGACAGGGGACAGGGCUGGGGGUGGCGGCCACAGUGUGACCCCAGCCACUCGGGAGGUCGACACGGGAGCAGUG
rnacentral:lncRNA from 1 species